rnacentral:rRNA from 1 species
ACUGCUAUCGGGAUAGGACUAAGACAUGCUAGUCGAGCGCUUCCUAGCCAAUUUGGGAGCGCGGCACACAGCUCAGUAACACGUGGCUAACCUGCCCUUGGGACAAGAACAACCCCGGGAAACUGGGGCUAAUUCGUGAUAGGCGAAGAACUCUGGAAUGAGUCUUCACCCAAAAGACGCUUACACUAUGCUUGUAGACGCCGCCCAAGGAUGGGGCCGCGACCGAUCAGGUUGUUGGUGAGGUAAUGGCUCACCAAGCCUUUUACCGGUGCGGGCCGUGAGAGCGGGAGCCCGGAGAUGGGCACUGAGACAAGGGCCCAGGCCCUACGGGGCGCAGCAGUCGCGAAAACUUUGCAAUAAGCGAAAGCUUGACAGGGCUAUCCCGAGUGCCAUCCGCUGAGGAAGGCUUUUACCCAGUCUAGAACGCUGGGGGAAUAAGGAGAGGGCAAGUCUGGUGUCAGCCGCCGCGGUAAUACCAGCUCUCCGAGUGGUGUGGAUGUUUAUUGGGCCUAAAGCAUCCGUAGCUGGCUAGGUUAGUCCCUUGUUAAAUCCACCGAAUUAAUCGUUGGAUUGCGGGGGAUACUGCCUGGCUAGGGGACGAGAGAGGCAGACGGUAUUUCCGGGGUAGGGGUGAAAUCCUAUAAUCCCGGGAAGACCACCAGUGGCGAAAGCUGUCUGCUAGAACGCGCCCGACGGUGAGGGAUGAAAGCUGGGGGAGCGAACCGGAUUAGAUACCCGGGUAGUCCCAGCUGUAAACGAUGCAGACUAGUGUUUGGGACGGCACGUGCCGGUUCUAGUGCC